rnacentral:rRNA from 1 species
UGGGGGAUAUUGGUCAAUGGAGGAAACUCUGAACCAGCGACGCCGCGUGAGGGAAGAAGGUCUUCGGAUUGUAAACCUUUGUUGACAGGGACGAUACAAGACGGUACCUGUCGAGGAAGCCACGGCUAACUACGUGCCAGCAGCCGCGGUAAUACGUAGGUGGCAAGCGUUAUCCGGAAUUACUGGGUGUAAAGGGAGCGCAGGCGGGAUAGCAAGUCAGCUGUGAAAACUAUGGGCUCAACCCAUAAACUGCAGUUGAAACUGUUAUUCUUGAGUGGAGUAGAGGCAAGCGGAAUUCCGAGUGUAGCGGUGAAAUGCGUAGAUAUUCGGAGGAACACCAGUGGCGAAGGCGGCUUGCUGGGCUCUAACUGACGCUGAGGCUCGAAAGUGUGGGGAGCAAAC